rnacentral:rRNA from 1 species
AACGAACGCUGGCGGCAUGCCUAACACAUGCAAGUCGAACGAGACCUUCGGGUCUAGUGGCGCACGGGUGCGUAACGCGUGGGAACCUGCCCUUAGGUUCGGAAUAACUCCCCGAAAGGGGUGCUAAUACCGGAUAAUGUCUUCGGACCAAAGAUUUAUCGCCUUUGGAUGGGCUCGCGUUGGAUUAGCUAGUUGGUAGGGUAAAAGCCUACCAAGGCGACGAUCCAUAGCUGGUCUGAGAGGAUGAUCAGCCACACUGGGACUGAGACACGGCCCAGACUCCUACGGGAGGCAGCAGUGGGGAAUAUUGGACAGUGGGCGAAAGCCUGAUCCAGCAAUGCCGCGUGAGUGAUGAAGGCCUUAGGGUUGUAAAGCUCUUUUACCCGGGAUGAUAAUGACAGUACCGGGAGAAUAAGCUCCGGCUAACUCCGUG